AAAGGGGGUCUCAUCUUCUCGAACCUUGCAUCACUGGCGCGCUUUAGACCGGCUUCACCCAGCCACCCUCAUGGUGGUUUCCGGCUCCGAAGAAGGCUAUCGCGUCGGCGGACGUCGGGAAAAGGGGGGUGGAUUUCUCUUCUUAGUACGCGGUCGCGGCCGCUCGAAGGUUGUCUGUGACCGGGGAGUUUGGGAACCGAGCCGCCUCUGGCCUUCUCUAAGGAGGUACGGAGCUGCUGAUCGGGGACUCUCCCUAGAUUCUGACGGUGGAUCGUUCGAUGAGAGGAAGGGUUCGGGGCUUAGUCCUAGUGUCCCUUCGCGCGGCUGAUAUUCGCAAUCGUCCAUCUGUCCCGUCUUGAAACACAGACCAAGGAGUCUAACACGUGCACGAGUUGAAGGGAUAAGUCUGAUCCCCGAGGCACAACGAAAGCGAAAAAGGCACACUCUUCCUCACCGCGGCGGCCUCCGCUGUCUCUCAUCUUCGUCCGUCCACGAGCGCACGCUCUCUCUCUCUCUCUCUUCCCUUGCGGUGGAUGGUUGUGGGGGGCGUCGGCGGGUCGAUCGGUAGUGGUUUUGCCCGUGGCAGCAGGGGAGUUCUGUUGGGUCAAUCCGCGCCCCUAUCCUUUCCGGAGGACCGGCGCANGCCCGGGACUCGUCNCUACCCUCUCGUGNCCCUUCGAGGGGGUUCUCGUGACGGGCGGCGGGCACCUAGAGCAUACAUGCUAGUACCCGAAA
rnacentral:rRNA from 1 species